UGUAAGCGUAUACCAAAGUUGUUGCAGUUAAAACGCUCGUAGUCGGAAUUUGGCAGUUCCGGAAGUGUGCACGUCGUGUGCGCACUUUGCGGGGACUGCUUUUGUGGUCUUGCGUAGGAUGAGGCACUUUCAUUAGUGAACGUCCUCACGCAACCACUCUUUACUGUGAGAAAAUCAGAGUGCUCAAAGCAGGCGUUUGCCGUGAAUGUAUUAGCAUGGAAUAAUAGAAUAGGACUCGGUUCUAUUUUGUUGGUUUGUUGGGACUGAGUAAUGAUUAAGAGGGACAGUUGGGGGCAUUUGUAUUCCGGCGCUAGAGGUGAAAUUCUUAGAUUGCCGGAAGACAAACUGCUGCGAAAGCGUCUGCCAAGGAUGUUUUCAUUGA
rnacentral:rRNA from 1 species